rnacentral:lncRNA from 1 species
CAGUUUUAAUGCUAUAACAUUUUAUUUAUUACUAUUAUUUUUCAGGGUGAAUUCAGUCAGAUAAUCUGCAAAUAGAAGGAACUCAUCAGCUUUGAGAUAUUCUCAUUCCCAAAAGGUCCAGUAUAAUACUCACAAAGGAAUACGCAUUGAGAAAGUGUUGGAAGUGAUUUUCUGGGUCAAGCUCUGCAUUACAGCAAAUAUGGAUUCAAUAAGUAAAGAGGAGAAUAUUCUCAUGAUACUCUCAGAGUUUAUUCCGGAGGCUUCCUGGAACCCAGCUGUGCAGAAGUUUGAGGUAGGCCCAGUAGUGCCAUGGUCUUAUCUUAAAGUCUUCCUUUUUUUUUCUUAAACAACAAACAACUCUAUUGACGUGUAAUCUGUAUGCCAUAAAAUUCGCUCAUUUUAAGUAUACAAUUAAAUUAUUUUUAGUAAUUUUACUGAGUUGUUGAGCCAUCAUCUUGAUGCAGUUUUAGAACAUUUUCAUCACUCCAAUAAGACCCCUCCUCCAUUUAACAGUUAAUCCCCAUUCUUACCCCAGCCCUAGGCAACCACCUACAUGUCCUCUGUUUCUAUAGAUUUACCUAAAGCUUUGUGCUAUUAUUCCCUCUGAGCUACUCUAGUUGCAGGUUAUAAUGACUGAAGGCUAAUUUACCCUAGAAUUGUCUCAUAGCAAGCAAA